rnacentral:rRNA from 1 species
UACGUAGGGUCCGAGCGUUGUCCGGAAUUAUUGGGCGUAAAGAGCUCGUAGGCGGUCCGUUAAGUCGGAAGUGAAAUCUCAAGGCUCAACCUUGAAAUCGCUUUCGAUACUGGCGGACUUGAGGCAGGUAGGGGAAGGUGGAAUUCCUGGUGUAGCGGUGAAAUGCGCAGAUAUCAGGAGGAACACCGGUGGCGAAGGCGGCCUUCUGGGCCUGUUCUGACGCUGAGGCGCGAAAGCCAGGGGAGCAAACGGG